CAGGCGGCUCAAUAGACGGGCUGCGACAGACGUUCUCAGUUAUAAUUAAAGUCAAACACGAAACCAUCAGUUUAUAUUUUUGUCGAUGCUUCUGCUAUAAUAAAACAUGUGGUCACCAUUCAUAGUCAUGCCAUGGAUGAAGUAGUACCUGGAUCGGCAACUCCUCGAUGUUUGUGACCACCGCUAGGUGGCAGUGGUGUCGAGCGCUAAGGACGCGGGGGAGCGGGUGCUAUUCAAAACAAUGGUCGGCGUCGCGUCGUAGGAUCGUUUGCCUUGUUUUUUGAAAAGUUAAGCCCCUUUGGAGCAGAUUGGAAGGUUUCAGAAGAUGGAGGAAGAUGGCAAGAUCAAAGAGAUGGGUUCAGUUUCCACGGUGUGCUGACUUGAAUUGGCAUCCUGUGAUUUGUGAUGUGAAUUAUGAUGCACGCACUCGCAGGUGCACGCCCACUGCGGACACGUGUGACGUGACGGCAGCAGGCAGCCGGGGUGUGAACUGUGAACUGGCUCGGCCGAAAAUGUUUAAGGUAUUACAGCGUUUGUAACUGACUAACAUACCCACUACGGGCAUACCCAUUGAGCGGAUAAUGCGUUCGUGUGCAUCGUGUUUGCAUUUAUUCCCGAUAUACUCUGGUGGUAGGUGUGAAUUGGAAACCAGCUUGGUGCUACGACACCGUUUAGUAGGCAUGUGGCACGUCGUUUCUCGAAACCUACCUAUCAGUCUAUGCAAUAAUAUGCAUUGUAUACAUUGUGUGUCAUCGUUCACCUUAGUUGUCAUUGAACCUGUGUUAAAUUCUGAACUUCAGGCCGAGACAGACUAUUUCCACAGUCAGGAAAU